rnacentral:rRNA from 1 species
CACGUAGGGCGCAAGCGUUGUCCGGAAUUAUUGGGCGUAAAGAGCUCGUAGGCGGUCUGUUGCGUCUGCUGUGAAAACCCGGGGCUUAACCCCUGGCUUGCAGUGGAUACGGACAGACUAGAGGUAGGUAGGGGAGAAUGGAAUUCCCGGUGUAGCGGUGAAAUGCGCAGAUAUCAGGAGGAACACCGGUGGCGAAGGCGGGUCUCUGGGCCGUAACUGACGCUGAGGAGCGAAAGCAUGGGGAGCGAACAGG